UACAGAGGUCUCAAGCGUUGUUCGGAUUCAUUGGGCGUAAAGGGUGUGUAGGUGGCGCCGUAAGUCGGGUGUGAAAUUUCGGAGCUUAACUCCGAAACUGCAUUCGAUACUGCGGUGCUUGAGGACUGGAGAGGAGACUGGAAUUCAUGGUGUAGCAGUGAAAUGCGUAGAGAUCAUGAGGAAGACCAGUGGCGAAGGCGGGUCCCUGGACAGUUCCUGACACUGAGGCACGAAGGCCAGGGGAGCAAACGGG
rnacentral:rRNA from 1 species